CCCUUAGAUGUUCUGGGCCGCACGCGCGCUACACUGAUGCAUUCAACGAGUCUAAAGCCUGCUCUGAUAGGGGUGGGUAAUCUUUUGAAUGUGCAUCGUGAUUGGGAUAGAUGAUUGCAAUUUUUCAUCUUCAACGAGGAAUGCCUAGUAAACGCAAGUCAUCAGCUUGCAUUGAUUACGUCCCUGCCCUUUGUACACACCGCCCGUCGCUCCUACCGAUUGAAUGAUCCGAUGAAUAUCAUGGAUUGAGGAUGCAAGCAGGUUCGCCUGUCUUCAUCUUCGAGAAGUGAAGUAAAUCUUAUCAUUUAGAGGAAGGAGAAGUCGUAACA
rnacentral:rRNA from 1 species